rnacentral:rRNA from 1 species
GACGUAGGGCGCGAGCGUUGUCCGGAUUUAUUGGGCGUAAAGAGCUCGUAGGCGGUCUGUCGCGUCGGAUGUGAAAAUCCAGGGCUCAACCCUGGACCUGCAUUCGAUACGGGCAGACUAGAGUUCGGUAGGGGAGACUGGAAUUCCUGGUGUAGCGGUGAAAUGCGCAGAUAUCAGGAGGAACACCGGUGGCGAAGGCGGGUCUCUGGGCCGAAACUGACGCUGAGGAGCGAAAGCGUGGGUAGCAAACAGG